rnacentral:rRNA from 1 species
AUAUUAACUCUAAGAGAAAUUUAAUAAUAAACGAAGUGAAUUGAAAUAUCUUAGUAACUUUAGGAAAAGAAAUCAAAAGAGAUUCUAUGAUUAGCGUGAGCUAAAAUAGACUAGCCUAAAAAGUCAAAUGGUGGAUAAACUGUUUAAAUUAAAUGGGGAACCUUCCUCAAAGGCUAAAUAUAAUAUAUAAGCGAUAGUGGAAAGUACCGUGAGGGAACCAAAACAAAAACAGUGAUUUUAUAAGCAGUUCGGGAAAAUAAAAAAAAGUUAGAACGUACCUUUUGCAUAAUGGGUCACCAAGUUAACAUUAGAUGCGAGUAGGAGGGAGCUUUAUAAAAAAAAAUAUAUUUUUUUAUAGCCCCGUGCAUACGUAGUUAAACCGAGCGUUAAAAUAACGGUAAGUAUCUAAAGUUAGACCCGAAGCCUGGUGAUUUUACCAUAAUCAGGAUUAUAAAAGUCCGAACGGAAUAUUGUAGCAUAAAUAUCCGAAGAAUUAUGGUAGGUGUAGUGAAAGACAAUACUGACCAGGAUAGCUGGUUUUCUGCGAAACCUAUAACAGUAGGCAAUUUAAGUAUAAUAUCUUAGCAGGUACAGAAUUUAAUCUCAGACAAGACAUAAGGCUUAGCUUGCUAGCAAGUAAAGCUCAUGUUUUAUUUUGUACAAAUUGGGGGAUCAUGAAGAUUUUAUCAGUGAGUAUGUAGACUCGGAAUGGCAAAGAUAUAUCUUAAAUCAUCAGACAUAGAAUGAUAAGGUUGUAUGUCAAAAGGGAAACAGCCCAGAACAAGAGUUAAGGUUCCUAAAUUAUUAGUUGAGUGAAAUUAAGAAGGUUUUUAUUAAAGUCGACAAGGAGAUAGGCUUAGAAGCAGCCAUAAUUUUAUGACCUCGUAACAGAGCGCUUGUUAAGUUUUAAAAGCAUCGAAAAUUUAUCGGAUCUAAACAAUAUACCGAAACCUUGUCCAUAUUAUUUUAUAAUUAAAGCUUAAUUAUAAUUAAAUGGGGUAGCAGAACGUUGAGCUAAAUUAAGAUUUUUAUUUUUUAAAUGAAAUUAUAAUAAUUUAACUCAAGUGAUAAUGGUGACAUGAGUAACUAAAAGAAAAAAUAAAAUUUUUCCGCCUAAAGCUUAUGGAUGUAAUUAAGUAACGGCCUCUAAGUUUAUAUUAUCUAAAGAUUUAAACGAUGAGAUAAUCUUUUGUACUAAGGACGACAUUUUAAGUGAAAAAUGUACUGGAAAAAUAGUACUAAAUUAAUGGCUAUAGCUAAUUAGGGCUAUAGCUAUAAAUGAAAAGUAACCGUACCUAGAAUCUGAAACAAGUAAGCUAGUAGAGAAUACGAAGGCGUAAAUGAGCUAACAAUCAUAAAGGAACUCGGCAAAUUGACUACCGUAACUUCGGGAUAAGGAGAGCUCAUUAUUCUUGAUUAAUAUCAGGUAAAGAGGAAGAAGCAUGAAAUAGUGUUGUACGACUGUUUAAUUAAAACACAGCACUUUGCUGAAAGAUUAAAAAUCUAAGUAUAGAGUGUGAUGUCUGCCCGGUGCCGGCUGGUUAACAGAUAUAAUUAAAUAUACUAAUAUUUGAUGUAGACGGAAACCCCGGUUAAAGGCGGCCUUAACGAACAGGCUAAUUUGCGCAAGAGUGUACAAAAUGAGUGCGCGGUUUGGCACCUCGAUGUCGGCUUAACUUAUCCUCAUGGAUGCAGGAACUAUGUAGGGUGCGACUGUUCGUCGAUUAAAAAGUUACAUGAGCUGGGUUAAAUACGUCGUGAGACAGUAUGGUUUCUAUCUUCUAGGGGGAAUUAGAAUAUAAUAAGAACUAACUUUUGUACGAAAGGAACAAGAAGAAUUUAAUUUGUAAAAGGGUUAAAUAAUAGUUACUAACCUAUGGUUUACCUGUUGUCUAUGUGCCCAAAUAUUAAAAUAUAUAUGGAGGAAGCUCCUUAAGAGCUUCCCCGCAAAUUAUAUAUAUCUGUAUAGCUAGCCUGCGGACUCCGGUUAUGCCUGAGUUUGGCAAGCUAAAGCUAUACAUAGGGAUGUUUCUUUCACUAAGAUAAAUAUAUAGCAUAGGCACGGCAGGAAAGCUAAGUUGGUUAAGGAUAAGUGCUGAAAGCAUAUAGGCACGAAGCUUAUCUUAAGAUAUUUCUUAAAUAUACGUAAAAUAUUAUUACGAAGGAUGUAAUAUAGGCUUUAUCCGUACGAAUCUGGAGAUUUUUAAGAAUAAAGUACUAAUUUUAUAAAUAACUAUUUAUACAUAUAUC